rnacentral:lncRNA from 1 species
UACAACUAUUGUGUGCAUAAGGUUUCCUAUUUGUAUUUAAAAGAGAUUGUAUACUGCCAUUGUGGAUAUGGAAAUUGUAUAUAUAACAAAAGAAAUUGCACAAUAUAAAAUAAUUUUAAAAAGAAAAGUAAGUCAAGAGGGUGAUCAAACCAUGCAAAGAAAUUCCUGCCCCUUUUUUGUGCACUAGAAGAAUCACAUUCACAUGGUUGGUGGUUGCCAUUUUGACUUUCUUGACCUCCUUGCAGCCUGGCGGGAGCCACUGGCUUAGCCCCCCAAACCCUAAUUCUUCCAAACGUGGAUGGGAGGGUGAAACUUUGCUCCUUUUCAGCUGCCAAGACCUCAUCCUGGAGGCCGGCCGAGAGGAGGCUCCGGAGGACUAUCCUGACGGGAGGGUUCAGCCCGACAGAAGCCAAGCUCUGGGACUCAGGCCUUCCAGCCAUGCCCAAAAUCUUCGGUUCCUUCCCAAAGCAGAUGGAGAGAAACAAUACAGACUUGAAGCAGCUUUGGGCCGGCAUGUCACCUGUCAAUCAAAAGAGCAUGGUUGACCUACGCCCGCUAAUGCUGAAUCCUGGUGGAUUUCGUCCCUCGUUCCUCACAAACAACCCUGUCCACCGGCUGAAAUAUACUUUCCCAAGGGUUCCUGCCAGCAGCUCCCCCACCUCGUCUUCCCAAGGCUCUGGCCCUCCUUCCAGCCCCGCUUCUGUUUUCAACACACCCGUGCUGGCCAGGUUCAGAGGCAACAAGGAGGACGAGACGGACAAGGGAAGCCCGGGCCCCGAUACAAACUCUGCAGGGGCCUAAAUGUCUUUUCGUUGUAUGGGAAGAUGCUACAUGAAUAAAAAGUUUGGUGCAUGCUCCUCA